GGAGAGAUGGCCGAGUGGUCGAAGGCGCUCGCCUGCUAAGCGAGUAGUGGGUUAUUAGCCUGCUCGAGGGUUCAAAUCCCUCUCUCUCCG
rnacentral:tRNA from 2 species